rnacentral:lncRNA from 1 species
AUUAAAGCAAAUUAUCAUCUUUUUAACCAAUGCCCAACUCUAAUUAACCUUCAAGAGCGUAAACACGUAAAAAAACUAAGAAUUAUACAAAACAAAGGAUACACAACCCACAAAAAAAUUCUUUUUUCGGGGAAAAAGAAAAAAUGAGGAGACGGAAAGUCAUACUUUGCCUUGUUUCCUCAAUCGAGUGAAAGUUUCAGAAAGUCCAACAGUUGGUGUGGUGCUGAGGGCAGCCAUGGGAGGUUUGACCAAAGUUAAAAUCUUGAGUCUUUGCUGGUUUCACUUCAGAAAGUCCAACAGUUGGUGUGGUGCUGAGUGCAGCCAUGGGAGGUUUGACCCAAGUUAAAAUCUUGAAUCUCUGGGUAUUAUUAUAAGACUGAGGAAACGCGUGAUUUUCAAGCUUAUUAAUGGAGUGAAUGAGGUGGGUUGGUUUUAGAAAAGAUGCCAUAAUAUCAAGACUUUUAACUUUCUG